rnacentral:rRNA from 1 species
UACAGAGGUCUCAAGCGUUGUUCGGAAUUAUUGGGCGUAAAGGGCGCGUAGGCGGCUACGCACGUCCGUUGUGAAAUCGCUCGGCUCAACUGGGCGGGGUCAGCGGAUACGGUGUAGCUGGAGCAAGCUAGGGGGCAAUGGAAUUCCCGGUGUAGUGGUGGAAUGCGUAGAUAUCGGGAGGAACACCAGUGGCGAAGGCGGUUGCCUGGAGCUUUGCUGACGCUGAGGCGCGAAAGCGUGGGGAGCGAUCCGG